rnacentral:rRNA from 1 species
UACGAAGGGGGCUAGCGUUGCUCGGAAUCACUGGGCGUAAAGCGCACGUAGGCGGAUUGCUAAGUCAGGGGUGAAAUCCUGGAGCUCAACUCCAGAACUGCCUUUGAUACUGGCGACCUUGAGUCCGGGAGAGGUGAGUGGAACUGCGAGUGUAGAGGUGAAGUUCGUAGAUAUUCGCAAGAACACCAGUGGCGAAGGCGGCUCACUGGCCCGAUACUGACGCUGAGGCACGAAAGCGUGGGGAGCAAACAGGG